GUGUCUACUUCUGCAACACAUAUAUGAGAAUUGAAAGGUUAUAGACAAGAUUUGUAUGGCCCCUGCACACAGAGGACAUAAAAAUUGAUACAUUCCUUAUGUUU
ensembl:snRNA U6 U6 spliceosomal RNA